rnacentral:rRNA from 5 species
ACGGGUGAGUAACACGUGGGAACGUACCUUUCGGUUCGGAAUAAUUCAGGGAAACUUGGACUAAUACCGGAUAAGCCCUUCGGGGGAAAGAUUUAUCGCCGAUAGAUCGGCCCGCGUCUGAUUAGCUAGUUGGUGAGGUAAUGGCUCACCAAGGCGACGAUCAGUAGCUGGUCUGAGAGGAUGAUCAGCCACAUUGGGACUGAGACACGGCCCAAACUCCUACGGGAGGCAGCAGUGGGGAAUAUUGGACAAUGGGCGAAAGCCUGAUCCAGCCAUGCCGCGUGAGUGAUGAAGGCCUUAGGGUUGUAAAGCUCUUUUGUCCGGGAAGAUAAUGACUGUACCGGAAGAAUAAGCCCCGGCUAACUUCGUGCCAGCAGCCGCGGUAAUACGAAGGGGGCUAGCGUUGCUCGGAAUCACUGGGCGUAAAGGGCGCGUAGGCGGACUCUUAAGUCGGGGGUGAAAGCCCAGGGCUCAACCCUGGAAUUGCCUUCGAUACUGAGAGUCUUGAGUUCGGAAGAGGUUGGUGGAACUGCGAGUGUAGAGGUGAAAUUCGUAGA